rnacentral:rRNA from 1 species
AUUGAACGCUGGCGGCAGGCCUAACACAUGCAAGUCGAGCGGAUGAAGGGAGCUUGCUCCUGAAUUCAGCGGCGGACGGGUGAGUAAUGCCUAGGAAUCUGCCUGGUAGUGGGGGAUAACGUCCGGAAACGGGCGCUAAUACCGCAUACGUCCUGAGGGAGAAAGUGGGGGAUCUUCGGACCUCACGCUAUCAGAUGAGCCUAGGUCGGAUUAGCUAGUUGGUGGGGUAAAGGCCUACCAAGGCGACGAUCCGUAACUGGUCUGAGAGGAUGAUCAGUCACACUGGAACUGAGACACGGUCCAGACUCCUACGGGAGGCAGCAGUGGGGAAUAUUGGACAAUGGGCGAAAGCCUGAUCCAGCCAUGCCGCGUGUGCGAAGAAGGUCUUCGGAUUGUAAAGCACUUUAAGUUGGGAGGAAGGGCAGUAAGUUAAUACCUUGCUGUUUUGACGUUACCAACAGAAUAAGCACCGGCUAACUUCGUG